rnacentral:lncRNA from 1 species
GCCGCCCACGUCAGCGCCUGGCGCGGGCCCGAACGAAACCACGGCAUGGAGACGGAAUGAUGCAGACUCCUAUCCGCGAGAUACCUGCUGUAAUUUCGCUGUGGUUCGUGAGGACGCGUCCUGGGCUGCCCUGAGAAGCCUACGUCUCCCCUUCGAGGCCCGGGAAGACCUCCAACCCCGCUGACAAUGCUGGGCCCUCAGCCAGACCUGCCCUGCGUGCCACGUUCUGUUCUAAGAUCGGGCUGCCGAGCUGUGGCCUGGAGGAAACCUGGCAGGUGUCACCAGAGCUUUGGGGAGGGUGAGGCCCUGUCGGGGAAGCCCAGUGGGAGUCAUGAAGGAGGGAACACGUGUGGAGCCCUUGUAGGGGGAGGGGCAGCCCUGCAGAGAUCUAAGAAAAAAUUCCAGAAAAAUGAGCAGCAACCUCCAAGGCCAGGCAUCGGUGCAGGGGACAAGGGGUCGUAGCUGGAGGGGCCUAGGUGAGGCUGCCGGGAAGGGACGAUGUGGUUGGUGGAGUGCACAGGCAGGGACCUCACUGGACUUUCCUGUCUGCUCAGCAUGGACAGGCAGCCCAGGAGAAGGCAGCACGUGGCCGGGUGCAGGGACGUACCACCCCCACUUCCCCAGGGGAGCUGGGGUCAGACGAGUCCCAGGCACUCCAUCCUCUGCAGCAAGUCAGGUUGUGAUUUACUAGGGGGUGGUGAAUAUAAUGGAGAGACUUCUGGGGAGGAAUUCCUGGCUCCCGCGUGGACUUGCAGAGCUCAACAGGCAGCCACGUGGCUGAGUGUCCAGCAAACAUCACAUAAGGCUUUGGGUCCUGCAGGUGGGGCUGCCAUGAGCAGCAAGCUCAGUCCAGAAGAACAGUUCCUCUCCAGGAUCCACUUCCUGCGCACUUUUAUGUGCAGUGUAGCUGGAGCAGAGCUCCCCGGAAUUCCACAGGCAACUGAGAACGGAGAGGGAUGCAGGCCAGCCAGGGAUCCAGCGUCUUCCCCAUCGUCACUCUCCAUGGCCUCCGUCUACACACAGUGUUCGUCUGCACAGCUUGUCAGCGCGUUAUCAUGACUUCUAUUUGGCACCGGCCCGUCUGUCCACUGUCCUGGCUUGUUCCAAGCGCUGCCUUCUCCAACUGGGGUCCUGGCUGCAGAGCUGUCUGCUCCCCACGUUGGGCAACUCCAGCCAAGAUUCCUACACCCAAAUGUGACCGUGUUGCUCACGAAGAAGGCUCAGCUUUGCGUGUGCCCAGCCGUGUGCACAGCUCGUCCCAACUCCUGCGGGUGGCACCUGCCUCUCCCACCUCCAGUCUUUCCCCUGUGAUGAGCAGAUGACCACCGCCCUCCAGGGUCAGCGUUUGGCUGUUUGUGUGCCUGCCCACCCGCCUCCCUGUGCCUGGGCCUGCCCUGUGCCUGCACACAGGAGUGGCUCAUGGCGUUUGCCCUACACGGAUGGGCUGUCCUGGGAGCUACUGGACAGUCACCUUGGUGGGAAUGCCAGAGGCAUGGGCAUUAGGUCCCCCCGGCCAGCCUCCGUUGCCACAUGGGCUAUUUUUGUCCAUCGCGUGGGACAACCUAGUAUUGGGGGAAAACUCAGUCCACUCUAAAGAAGCAUCGGCGUUUUGGAUGGACGAAUGCUGCUUCAUGCGACUCCAUGUCAAUGGACUAUUUUAUUCAACUCGGGUAUUUAUGAGUGUCUCCUCUGUGCCAGCCACGUGUGAAAGAAGAACUCCAAGUUACUGGACACCAGGACAAACCAGGUAGAUCACUGCAUCCGGUUCCUCCUCUUUCUGCCGACUCUCCCGGGCAACCGUUCUGAUUCCUGGCAUGGAGUUGGGGGCGAGCUCAUCAGUACCCAGAGCGCCUGGUGUGCAGCCAAAGGCCCCCAUUUUAUUAGUCGGUGUGUUCAGUAUCACGCUCAAGACAAGGGCCAACCUAUUACUUCACACACCUCAAAUACAAAAAGUGCCUGGGAACGUCGAUGAGGUAUUAAAGGAAACCACUGGUCUUGUCAGUCAUGUACACACAGAAAAAAAAACCAGUCAUUUUUAUUUUUAUUUUUUGAGACAGAGUUUCGCUCUUGUUGCCCAGGCUGGAGUGCAAUGGUGCAAUUUCAGCUCACUGCAAUCUCUGCCACCCGGAUUCAAGCAAUUCUCCUGUCUCAGCCUCCCGAGUAGCUGGAAUUGCAGACACCCAUCACCACGCCCAGCUAAUUUUAUGUAUUUUUAGUAGAGAUGGGGUUUCACCAUGUUGGUCAGGCUGGUCUUGAACUCCUGACCUCAGGUGAUCCACCCACGUCAGGCUCCCAAAGUGCUGAGAUUACAGGCAUGAACCACUGUGCCCAGCCGAAAACAACCAAGAAUUUUUUAACAAUAAAAUGACCAGCAAGUAAACUUGAAACAAAAAUGGACAAAUAUCUAAAAUAUUUUUAAAUGUAUGUAUUUUAAUUGGCAAAUAAUACUUGUAUAUAUUGUUUACAACUUGUUUUAAAGUAUGAAUACAUUGUGGAAUGGCUAAAUCAAGUUAAUUAACAUGCAUUAACUCACAUACUUUUUGUUUUUUGGUGUGGUGAGGACACUUAACAUCUACUCUCUUAGCAAUUUUCCAGUCACCAUGUCCUACUAUAGAUCCCUAGAACAUAUUCCUCCAAUGUAACUGAAAUGUAUCCCUUGACCAACAUCACUGCCCGGCCCCAGCCCCAGGUAAACACCAUUCUACCCUCUGCUUCUGUGAGUUCAGCUUUUCUAGAUUUCACCUGUGAGUGAGAUUGUGCAGCAUUUGUCUUUCUGUGCCUGGGUUUUUUCACAUAAUGCCCUUCUGGUUCAUCUAUAUUGUCAUAUAUGGUAGCAUUGUCUUCCUUUGUAAGGCUGACUGGUAUACCAUUGCGUAUAUACACCACAUUGUUUACCUAAAAUAUUUUUUAAUACAAUCGCUGAAAACUGCCA